rnacentral:lncRNA from 1 species
CGUGUGGGUUGCUUUAUUUCAGAUACAAAGCAAGUAUAUGAUCAUAUAUUUAUGUUUGUGGUGCUUGCUUAUUUAUUCUGUGGCCUUUUUUAUAUAUCAUUGUUUCUUUAUAAGAUAUUUAUUACUGCUAUAAUAUUUAAUAAUCUGAAUUUUAAUUUAUACUCUUUUCUUCGUAUGUACUUUAUAUUUUGUUGGUUAAAAGGUGC